rnacentral:rRNA from 1 species
UACGUAGGGUGCAAGCGUUAAUCGGAAUUACGUGGGACGUAAGCGUGCGCAGGCGGUUAUGUAAGACAGAUGUAGAAACGUCCCCGGGCUCAACCGUGGGAACUGCAUUUGUGACUGCAUAGCUAGAGUACGGCAGAGGGGGAUGGAAUUCCGCGUGUAGCAGCGAAAUGCGUAGAUAUGCGGAGGAACACCGAUGGCGAAGGCAAUCCCCUGGGCCUGUACUGACGCUCAUGCACGAAAGCGUGGGGAGCAAACAGGAUUAGAACUCCGGUAGU